rnacentral:rRNA from 1 species
AAUGAACGCUGGCGGCAGGCCUAAAACAUGCAAGUCGAACGCCCUAGCAAUAGGGAGUGGCGCACGGGUGAGUAACAUGUGGGAAUAUGCCUUUUGGUACGGAACAACGUUUGGAAACGAACGCUAAUACCGUAUGGUCCCUCCGGGGUAAAGAUCUAUCGCCAAAAGAUUAGCCCGCACUAGAUUAGCUAGUUGGUAAGGUAAUGGCUUACCAAGGCGACGAUCUAUAGCUGUUCUGAGAGGAAGAUCAGCCACACUGGGACUGAGACACGGCCCAGACUCCUACGGGAGGCAGCAGUUAGGAAUAUUGGACAAUGGGCGCAAGCCUGAUCCAGCCAUGCCGCGUGAGUGAUGAAGGCCUUCGGGUUGUAAAGCUCUUUAGCCGACGAAUAUAAUGACUGUAGUCGGAGAAUAAGCCCCGGCUAACUUCGUGCCAGCCGCCGCCGUAACAC